GACGAACGCUGGCGGCGUGCUUAACACAUGCAAGUCGAACGGAAAGGCCCGGCUUUUGUGGGGUGCUCGAGUGGCGAACGGGUGAGUAACACGUGAGUAACCUGUCCUUGACUUUGGGAUAACUUCAUGAAACUGGGUCUCAUACCGGCUAAGAGCUCCCGCUGCAUGGUGGGGGUUGGAUAGAUUCGGCGGUUGGGGAUGGACUGGCGGCCUAUCAGCUUGUUGGUGGGGUGGUGGGAUACCAAGGCCUUGACGGGUAGCCGGCCUGGGAGGGUGACAUGCCACAUUGGGACUGAGAUAAGGCCCAGACUCCUACGGGAGGGAGCAGUGGGGAAUAUUGCAAAAUGGGCGGAAGCCGGAUGCAGCAACGCCGCGUGCGGGAUGACGGCCUUCGGGUUGUAAACCGCUUUCGCCUGUGACGAAGCGUGAGUGACGGUAAUGGGUAAAGAAGCACCGGCUAACUACGUG
rnacentral:rRNA from 1 species